UACAGAGGAGCCAAGCGUUGUCCGGAUUGACUGGGCGUAGAGCGCACGCAGGCGGACGCGCGCGUGGGGUGUGAAAUCUGGCCGCUUAACGGCCAGGCGCCAUCCCAUACGGCGCGUCUGGAGCAAUGCAGAGGUCGGUGGAAUUGCCGGUGUAGUGGUGAAAUGCGUAGAGAUCGGCAGGAACACCCAGGGGGAAACCAGCCGCCUGGGCAAGCGCUGACGCUGAGGUGCGAGAGCGUGGGGAGCGAACCGG
rnacentral:rRNA from 1 species